rnacentral:lncRNA from 1 species
UAUACAACAGGAUGUGCUUGCAACAGAACUGAUGCCUCCUUCUUCUGCCAUAAGGUUUGCUCACCUUCUGUUUCUCUGAUUGUGAGUGAAAAUCCAGAGGAAGAUAGGUGCCAGCUGAGGUACUGAAAAUGCAAUCACAGGUGAGUAGGAAAUUCUUUAACUGAAAUUCCAUUUCUGUUGCCAGGAGUUGGGAAGUACCCUCUUGAU